rnacentral:rRNA from 1 species
CCUUCGGGGAACCUGGAGACAGGUGCUGCAUGGCUGUCGUCAGCUCGUGUCGUGAGAUGUUGGGUUAAGUCCCGCAACGAGCGCAACCCUUGUCUUUAAUUGCCAGCAUUCAGUUGGGCACUUUAAAGAGACUGCCGGUGUUAAGCCGGAGGAAGGUGGGGAUGACGUCAAGUCCUCAUGGCCUUUAUGCCCAGGGCUACACACGUGCUACAAUGGGUGGUACAAAGAGAUGCCAACUCGCGAGAGCGCGCCAAUCUCAGAAAGCCAUCCUCAGUUCGGAUUGGAGUCUGCAACUCGACUCCAUGAAGUUGGAAUCGCUAGUAAUCGCGGAUCAGCACGCCGCGGUGAAUACGUUCCCGGGCCUU